rnacentral:rRNA from 1 species
GUUGAACGCUAGCGAUAGGCUUAACACAUGCAAGUCGAGGGGCAGCACAAGGUAGCUUGCUAUCUGGGUGGCGACCGGCGCACGGGUGCGUAACGCGUAUGCAACUUGCCCUAUACAGGAGGAUAACCCGUCGAAAGACGGACUAAUACUGCGUAUGCUCACAACUUGGCAUCAAGUGGUGAGGAAAGAAAUUCGGUAUAGGAUAGGCAUGCGUCCCAUUAGCUUGUUGGUGAGGUAACGGCUCACCAAGGCAACGAUGGGUAGGGGAACUGAGAGGUUUAUCCCCCACACUGGUACUGAGACACGGACCAGACUCCUACGGGAGGCAGCAGUGAGGAAUAUUGGUCAAUGGGCGCGAGCCCGAACCAGCCAAGUCGCGUGAAGGAUGACUGUCUUAUGGAUUGUAAACUUCUUUUAUACGGGAAUAACAAGAGUCACGUGUGACUCCCUGCAUGUACCGUAUGAAUAAGCAUCGGCUAACUCCGUG